CGGGGUGCAGCAGGCGCGAAAACUUUGCAAUGCGGGAAACCGUGACAAGGGAACUCUGAGUGCCCGUAAAAUCGGGCUGUCCAUCGGUUUAAAUAACCGGUGAAGAAAGGGCCGGGCAAGACCGGUGCCAGCCGCCGCGGUAAUACCGGCGGCUCGAGUGGUGGCCACUAUUACUGGGCUUAAAGCGUUCGUAGCUGGUCUGUUAAGUCUCUGGGGAAAUCUUCCGGCUUAACCGGAAGGCGUCUCAGGGAUACUGGCAGACUAGGGACCGGGAGAGGUGAGAGGUACUCCAGGGGUAGGAGUGAAAUCCUGUAAUCCUUGGGGGACCACCUGUGGCGAAGGCGUCUCACCAGAACGGCUCCGACAGUGAGGGACGAAAGCUGGGGGAGCAAACCGGAUUAGAUACCCGGGUAGUCCCAGCUGUAAACGAUGCGCGUUAGGUGUAUCAGUGACCACGAGUCACUGAGGUGCCGAAGAGAAAUCGUGAAACGUGCCGCCUGGGAAGUACGGUCGCAAGGCUGAAACUUAAAGGAAUUGGCGGGGGAGCAC
rnacentral:rRNA from 1 species